rnacentral:rRNA from 1 species
UGGCAGGUACAGCGGGAGGCCNGGCGGCGACGCCGAGCGGAACCGAAAACCUGUCUCAGUUCGGAUCGGAGUCUGCAACCCGACUCCGUGAAGCUGGAUUCGCUAGUAAUCGCGCAUCAGCCAUGGCGCGGUGAAUACGUUCCCAGGCCUUGUACACACCGCCCGUCAAGCCAUGGAAGCCGGGGGUGCCUGAAGUGUGCAACCGCAAGGAGCGCCCUAAGGUAAAACCGGUGACUGGGGCUAAGUCGUAACAAGGUAAC